rnacentral:lncRNA from 1 species
AUGUCUCCAGCUCGACCUCGCGGCCGGGCGCCCCUUUCGGGUCACUACCUGUGGGGUGUCGGAGUCUGGAGGACAGCGCUGCCAUCCCGUCGGAAAGGAAGCCCCAACCAAAGUCCAGUCCAGGACCCCCAGCUCAGUCCUCACUUGUGUUCCAUGAGGUGUAGGAACAGUGCUUCGGGGAGCUGUGCCCUGCCUCUCAUGCAAGAUGACUGUGUUAAUUUCCACUGUCAGGAUGUGAGAUUUGUGCUGAAAAUGUUACAGUGA